AACGCACAUUGCGCUCUCUGGUAUUCCGGAGAGCAUGCCUGUUCGAGCGUCAUUUGCUAAACUCAAGCCUACUUGUAGGCCUGGUCUUGGGUGCUGUCUUCUGUAGAGGACACACCUCAAAUGCAAUGGCGACAUUGCCUGGCUUCAAGCGUCUAGGAAACUUCAUCGCUUCAGCUAGAAAAGUGUCUGCCUCUCAACCUCAUUUUUAAUCUUGGUUGACCUCGGAUCAGGUAGGGAUACCCGCUGAACUUAA
rnacentral:misc_RNA from 1 species